rnacentral:tRNA from 14 species
AAAAGCCAAAAAAAAUAAAAAAAAAAUUGAAAAAAUUAUGGCCUCCACCUUGUCCUUAGUCGAGGAAGGUUUUUUCCUUUUUUUUUUUUUUUUUUUUUUU